rnacentral:tRNA from 1 species
GGUGGUUAAGCAUUUGGCUACUAACCAAAAGGUGGUAGUUCACAUCCACCAGCCACUC